CAGUUUUUACCUGAUGGGAGUGAAUUCUACAGUUUUGGUCUCGCGGCUAUAUGCUGGGCCAUUUGGAACUGUCGCAAUGAAACAACCUUUGAGUUUAAAUUUCCUAAAAUCCCUUUUGAGGUGGUGUUCUCUUCAUGUGUAUUUCUGGAUUAUGGGGCAGGUUUGCUGAAGAGUGAUGACCAGGAGGCAAUGUGGCGUGGGGCAAUGAUGCUCAGUGAGAAUGCGAAGAACAUGAUGUGUAUCUGUGCUGCUGCUCAAGAUGAUGGUGCGAUGGACUGA
rnacentral:rRNA from 1 species